rnacentral:sRNA from 1 species
AACGUCUUGUAAUUUACUCAUUAUCUUCUUCCAUCUCCUUAACGUGUUCCGCAACUUCAAAAAUACGUUUAUGUUUAUUAUCCCAACAUGCCUUGCUUAAAUCGACUGGAUAUUCUUGUGGAUUAAGGAAACGCUUAUUUUCAUCCCAAAUAGAUUGUAAUCCUUGUGCUAAAUAUUCACGUGAUUCAUCUUCUGUUGGCAUUUGA